rnacentral:lncRNA from 10 species
GGGCCCGGCUGUCCCGCUUGGGCGUCCUCAGUGGAACCGCACACCCUUUCUCAGCGCGCCGGUCGUUUGGUCCUGUAGGGCCGAGGGGAAUUCGUGCGGUGUUGAGCACGCGGGAAGCACUUAACGAAAGGGAGCUGCCCCUCAGCCCUCGUGAGUCCGAUGUAAAGGAGUGAAGGAGACGAAGAACUGAAUCAGUAGUUGACCGCCUGUGAGCUGGCGAGCUGUGCCCUGGUAGGGCCUUAAAUCCCAGCCCCAGAAGUCGGAGGCAGGGCAGGCACCCCAAAGCGUGGAAGAGAUGCACCUGCGGAGUGAAAAUGCUGCUAUUGCUUCUAGGGUCAGCCUUGGUUCCUGGAACAAAGGAGCCGCAUGACUCGGGUCUGGCGAUGAUGUUGGGCUCUGCAGUGUCCUCAUCCUUCCCCCUCUCUGGGUAAUGAUAUCUUCCCAGGGUUUAAAGUGUGUCCUCUCUGCCAGUAGCUUGUCUCCACAGCCUCAUCUUUAAUUCCACCUGCCCCACCCAUUUUGGACACUGCAGCCAAGUUGCAGCAGAUCCGCAAACCUGGUAAUCCCUCACUUGAAAGUGCUGGAGGCUUUAGGAUGGGGUUCAGGGCCUGUGCAAUCUAACCGCCUGCUUUUUUUUUUUUUUUUUUUUUUUUUUUUUUGAGACGGAGUCGAAUCUCACUGUCUCCCAGGCUGGAGUGCAGUGGCGCCAUCACAGCUCAUUGCAGCCUCAACCUCCUGAGCUCAAGCCAUCCUCCCACCUCAGCCUCCCAAGUACCUGGGGUUACAGGCAAGCACCAUUACGCCUAGCUAAUUUUUCUGGGUUUUUUUUUUUUGUUUUUUUUUUUGUAUAGAUGGAUUUCGCCAUGUUGUCCAGGCUGGUCUUAAACUCUCGCUCUGUCUCCCAGGCUAGAGUGCAGUGGGGCAAUCUCGGCUCCCUGCAACCUCUGCCUCCUGGGUUCAAGCAAUUAUCCUGCCUCAGCCUACCAGUUAGCUGGGAUUACAUGUGUGCGCCACCGCGCCCGGCUAAUUUUUUUAUUUUUAGUAGAGGCGGGGUUUCACCAUGUUGACCAGGCUGGUCUCAAGACUACUGACCUCAAGUGAUCCCCCCCCCCCCCCGCCUCGGCCUCCCAAAGUGCUGGGAUUACAGACGUGAGCCACCGUGCCCAGCGGUUUUGCAUUUUCAAUUGUGGGGCACGGUGAGAAAAGACUUGAAGAAAGCAAGGGAGUGAGAUCCAUGGAAAUGUAGGGGGGAACCUUGCAGGCCUAUGGAACAGCCAGUGCAAAGGGCCUGGGGUGGGAGCUGCCUCAGGGUAGCCAGGAUGGCAGGAGGCACAGCUGCCGAGAGGAAGCAGGGGCCAGGUCCUGCAAGGUUAGAGGCCAUUGCUACUCCUGAACACAUUGGCAGGUUUUGAGCAGAGAAGUGACAUGAUUUUAGUUUUCUCAGGAUCCCUCUGGCUGCUGUGUGGAGGAAGAGGGGAGGGUGAGAGCAGGGAUACCUCUUAGGAGGCUGUGGUAGUAAUCCCAGGGAGCCAGGAUGGGAGCAGAGGAGGGGACAGGAAUUGGAUUCUGGAUGCAUUUUGGAGGGAGCAUGAAGGAAAGCGGGGUCAAAGGUUCCUCUGAGGCCUUGGCUGCCUCUCUUAUUCAUCUACAUCCAUUCUGUCAAGGACACCUUUCAUUUCUUCUUGGCACUGUCUCAAGGCCACCACGCUGCUGCCCACCUGACCAGCAGUGGCCUUUCCAGGCCUUCCAUCUUCUCCCCAGCAGCUUAUCUCUGCGUAGCCAGGUCCCAUUUCCCACACACCUUUUUUUAAAGUGUGUUGCACUGCUCUGGGUGCAGGACUGUAGCAGUGACCAGGGCAGCUCCAGAUGAAGCUUCUGCUCACAGGAACCUUUUCUACUGAAACAGAUGAUACCUAAACUCUCAGCUGUGUGACUUUAAGCAACUUGCACAACCUCUCUGUACUUCAGUUGCCUCCAUCUUCAAAUGGGGAUUAAAAAGUGUUGACAUCAUAGUGGUUGUGAGGAUUACAUGAUUUGAUAGUUUAUAAAGCACUUAGAACUUGUGAAGAAGAGUGCCUGGGGAUUGCCUAAGGUCAGGAGUUCAAGACCAGCCUGGCCAACAUGGAGAAACCUCAUCUCUGCUAAAAAUACAAAAACUAACCACGCAUGGUAGUGCACACCUCUAGUCCCAGCUACUUGGGGGGCUGAGGCAGGAGAAUCACUUGAACCUGGGAGGUGGAGAUUGCAGUGAGCCAAGAUUGCGCCACUGCACUCCAGCCUGGGCAACAGAGCAAGACUCGGUCUCCAAAGAAAAAAAAAGAACUGCCUGGCUACGGAAUAAGAACUACAUGGAGUUAUUAAAUCAAAAUCGGUGCACAAAUGAUAAUUCUUAAGAGUGAGUGCUACAGAGAACACAAAAGGCAAGGCACAGAGAGAUGACCUGGGAGGCAGGGAAGGAAAGCAUUCCCAGAGGAAUGUCUCCCGCAGGGACCCUACCCUGGUGGCACAGGACGUCUCACACAGCACUGUCUGGGACAGCAAAAGGGAUGGAAACCACCUGAGUCCAACUAUGGAGGACACUGGAAAACACGAUGCUGCCUCCAUAGGAUGGGAUAUUGUUCUGGAGGCUGCAAGCCCAGGUUCAAGGCAUCAGCAGGUGUGGUUUCCUCCGAGGCCUCUCCCCGUGGCUUGCAGAUGGCUGCCUUCUUCCUGCAUCCUCACGUGGUCCCUCCUCUGCACUCCAGCAUCCUUAAUGUCUCUUUGUGUGUCCAACUUUCCGCCCCCCCCCACCCCUUUUUUUUCUGAUGGAGUCCACCCAGACUGGAGUACAGUGGCGUGAUCUCAGCUCACUGCAACCUCCACUUCCUGGGCUCAAGUGAUUCCCCCGCUUCAGCCUCCCGAGUAGCUGGGAUUACAGGCAUGUGCCACCAUGCCUGGCUAAUUUUUGUAUUUUUAAUAGAGAUGGGAUUUCACCAUAUUGGCCAGGCUGGUCUCAAACUCCUGACCUCAAGUGAUCCACCCAUCUCGGCCUCCCAAAGUGUUGAGAUUACAGGUGUGAGCCACUGCGCCCAGCCCCGAACUUUCCUCUUAAAAGGAUAUCAGUCAGGCCAGGCGCAGUGGCUCAUACCUGUAAUCCCUGCACUUUGGGAGGUUGAGGCGGGUGGAUUACUUGAGGUCAGGAGUUGGAGACCAGCCUGGCCAACAUGGUGAAAUCCCGUGUCUACUAAAAAUACAAAAAUUAGCCGGGCGUGGUGGCAGGCGCCUGUAGUCCCAGCCACUCGGGAGGCUGAGGCAGGAGAAUUGCUUGAACCUGGGAGGCAGAGGUUGCAGUCAGCUGAGAUCAUGCUACUGCACUCCAGUCUGGGCAACAGAGCAAGACUCUAUCUCAAAAAAAAAAAAGACACCAGUCAGACUGGAGUAGGGCUCACCCUAAUGGCCUGAUUUUAACUUAAUUACCUCUUUUUUUUUCUUUCUUUUUUUGAGACAGAGUCUCGCUCUGUCACCCAGGCUUGAGUGCAGUGGCGCGAUCUCAGCUCACUGCAACCUCUGUCUCCCGGGUUCAAGUGAUUCUCCAGCCUUAGCCUCCCAAGUAGCUGGAAUUACAGGCGUGUACCACCACACCAAGCUAAUUUUUGUAUUUUUUAGUAGAGACAGGGUUUCUUCAUGUUGGUCAGGCUGGUCUCAAACUCCUGACCUCAGGUGAUACACCUGCCUCGGCCUCCCAAAGUGAUGGGAUUAUAGGUGUGAGCCACUGCACCCAGCCUUAAUUACCCCUUUAAAGGCCCUAUAUGCAAAUACAGUCACAUUCUGAGCUACUGGGGGUUAGGGCUUCAACAUAGGAAUUCAGGCAGACAUGAUUCAGCCCAUAACAAGGGCUUUCACUUUUUUUUUUUUUGUAGAAACAGGGUCUCACUAUGUUGCCCAGGCUACUCUUGAACUCCUGGGUUCAAGUGAUUCUCCAGCCUCAGCCCCCAGAUUAGCUGGGGCUACAGGUGCACCAGCACGCCCAGCUAAUAUUUUUACUUUCAUUUUUUUUAGACGGAGUUUAGCUAUCUUUGCCCAGGCUAGAGUGCAAUAGCGUGAUCUUGGCUCACCACAACCUCUGCCUUCCGGGUUCAAGAAUUCUCCUGCCUCAGCCUCCCAAGUAGCUGGGAUUACAGGCAUGCACCACCAUGACCGGCUAAUUUUGUAUUUUUAGUAGAGACGGGGUUUCUCCAUGUUGGUCAGGCUGCUCUCGAACUCCCGACCUCAGAUGGUCUGCCCGCCUCAGCUUCCCAAGGUGCUGGGAUUACAGGCGUGAGCCACCGCGCCCGGCCAAUAUUUUUUGUGGAGUCAGGGUCCUACUAUGUUUCCCAGGCUGGUCUUGAACUUCCAGGCUCAAGCGAUCCUCCUGCCUUGGCCUCCUAAAGUACUGUGAUUCCAGGCCUGAGCCACAGCACCCUGCUGGCUUUCACUUUUUACUUUAUUUCUAUGUUGUUAAAAUCUAUUACAAUAAACAUUACUUUUAAAGGAUUUUGUGCACUUCAAUCCAAAUGUCCCUGAAGCAUCUACCUCCCUCCUGGGCCUUCUCUGAAGUCAGAGUAGGGGCAGCUGAAGCCCUCCCUCUGCUGGCUCCAGGAACGAAACCCCCUGGCCCACUAAGGCCCUUCCCCUGGGGAGGGUGGCGUGGGAUAAGAACACUCAGUAUCUGUCUGGCCCUCUCAAGAUCACUGAGGACUUUCCCAGACAGCCGACAUGGUCUUCAGAUCAGUCUGCCAAACGUCACAUAGAGGCUGGGCACGGUGGCUCACGUCUGUAAUCCCAGCACUUUGGGAGGGCAACGUGGGUGGAUCACCUGAAGUCAGGAGUUCGAGACCAGGCUGGCCGACAUUGCAAAACCUCGUCUCUACAAAAAUAUAAAAGUUAGCUGGGCGUGGUGGCACGCGCCUGUAGUCCCAGCUACUCGGGAGGCUGAGGCAGGAGAAUCACUUGAACCUGGGAGGCGGAGGUUGCAGUGGACCAGGAUCGUACCACUGCACUCCAGCCUGGCCAACAGAGUAAGACUCCAUCUCAAAAAAAAAAAAAAAAUCAGGUGGAGGGGCAUCCUCUGUUUUCCAGGCUCCUGGUUUAUAGCUGCAAGCUCUGGACAUUUAAUACCUUGUAAUCCAUCCUUCCCUUAUAUACCUCUCAACAUAAUGACUGUACAAUAUGGCCAAUGAAACGGAUAGUAAAAUGAAACAUAGGCAAGUAAUAAAGUGAGAUAUGAAGACAGUAGUACAACCUGGAUGAGGGUGGAAUGCAAAAUUGUCAUCAGAGAAGACGACAGGAGGACCUGAGAGCUGGAGGGACGGACGCUUAUCUACCCAAAUGAGGCUAUAAAAAGUAGAAAGAUGGCAGGGUAAAAAUGGGGGAGGGCUGCCACUUAAGACUCUCAGGAAACAGUGAUGCAUCAGACUUUAUCAUUAAGUCCCAGGGGAGAGGAGUGGAUCUGGGGAUCCCUUUAGAUAUGGUAGAAUUCUCCUGGGUCCUGCUCUGGUCUUAAAUCUCAGACCAGUAGCAGGAAAACCCUAACUGUACUGUGGUCCUGAAUGUCACUGCAACUUCAGCCCUGCUGUGGUGGUGUAUCUGCUCCUCUGGCUGGCUCUGCCACCUUGAAAGGUGAGACCAUGUGGAGCAGAGCCAAGGGGCCUCAGCUGACAGCCAGCACCAACCAUCAGUCAUGUGAGUGAGACCACCUUGGACCCCCAACCCCAGUUGGGUUGUCAGAUGACUAUAGCUGCAGGUACAAGAGUGACCCAGUGACACCAGCAGAUGAACCGGCUAGCUUAGCUCAGCCCAAACUGCUGACUUAGAACUGUUGUUAUGUUAAGCCAGUACAUUUUCAGUGACUCAUUACAAAGCAGUAGAUAACUGUGACAGUCUAAGAGGAUCUAAGUUUGGAAACAGGAUUGAAUAUUUAAGAUAACUGAUUUGCCAGAUUUAUAAGUUUAUUAGUAUAUAAGAGUUGCUUGGCUGGGCACAGUGGCUCAUGCCUGUAACCCUAACACCUUGGAAGGCUGAAGCAGGAAGAUUGCUUGAGCCCAGGAGUUUGAGACCAGCCUUGGCAACACAGUGAGACCCAAUCUCUUAAAAAAAAAAAAAAAAAAAAAAACUCCGUCUCCCUCUCGCUCUCCGUCUCCCUCUCGCUCUCCCUCUCCCCACGGUCUCCCUCUCAUGCGGAGCCGAAGCUGGACUGUACUGCUGCCAUCUCGGCUCACUGCAUCCUCCCUGCCUGAUUCUCCUGCCUCAGUCUGCCGAGUGCCUGCGAUUGCAGGCACGCGCCGCCACGCCUGACUGGUUUUGGUGGAGACAGGGUUUCGCUGUGUUGGCCGGGCCGGUCUCCAGCCCCUAACCGCGAGUGAUCCGCCAACCUCGGCCUCCCGAG